UGGGAUGUAGCUCAGUGGUAGAGCGCUUGUCUCAUCCAAAGUGCUCUGGCUUCAAUUCCCAGCACCACAA
rnacentral:tRNA from 1 species